UGGCAUGUAUUUUGUUGUUCGAUGAGGUAAAUCUUUUUUUAUUGUCAUUAAUGGUUCCUUUUCCUUCUUCUCAUUGUCGUCAUCAUCUUCUUCGUCUUCCUCCUCCACCAAUGACAUGAUGGAAGAUUCAAGCGACGAGGAUGACAUGGAAUUGAAAAUCUUGAAUUUUCUACUUGUUGGCGAUGAUGAUGAUGAUGAAUUAUUUUUUGUUUGUUCUUGCUUUAAAAAUUUCGUAUGUAAAUCAA
rnacentral:ribozyme from 14 species